rnacentral:lncRNA from 1 species
UUUCUCACAUACUGUUCUUGUGGUAGUGAAUAAGUCUCAUGAGGUCUGAAGGUUUUAUAAGGGGUUUCUCCUUUCACUUGGCUCUCAUUCUCUCUUGCCUGUUGCCAUGUAAGAUGUGCCUUUUGCCUUCGAUCAUGAUUGUGAGGCUUCCCCAGCCACAUGGAACUACUCCAGGUUCUUCAACUUCGUGACUCGGACUGGCUUCUUUGCUCUGAAGAUUGCAGACAGCCUAUUGUGGGAGCUCACCUUGUGAUUGUGUUAUGUUUAAUUUCUUCACACCACUCAAAACUCAGCUUCUGAUUUCAAGAGUUCAACAACAGCCCUGAAGGAUUCUGUCUGCUUUACAGCUAUGUAAAAUAUGUUUAAUCUUCAGAUUCCUACAAGUUCCAGAUGACAAUGGAAUAUAAAAGACACAAGGCAGCUUCUGAAAAGCCACUCUGCCCUAAGAAGUCAGCCUACAUAAUUGAAGACAAGUGAUGUAAAUAAUUUGCCCUGUGUAAGUAAAAUGAAAACACAGCAUGUUAACUAUUUUUAGUUCCAAUUACUAGGUAAAUCUGCUAUUAAAUUAUUGCAUUCAAGGCUGCUGGAAUAAGCUUAGAAUUAUACUUGGUAUGCCAUACCAUUUUUAAAAUGUGAAAUCUAAAUUAUUUUUCUGUCAAGAUUUAAGUUUAGUGAUUGAACAUGUACAUGAUCAAUUUCUUGCUCUGAUUGAACUUCCACUUUAUGAGAACUAUGUUAUUGGAUCAGAUUUCUCCUAGAAAUAUCGUGUGAGAAUUUGAGACAAAAUUAAUAAUCACCCCAAUUUUUAACUUUUCCACAGAGCCAUCCAUCUCAUCUGUCCAUGAAACACCUUUUAACUUCAAAGGAUAUUCAAAGUUCAGAAAAGAUAUAUGAUGUACAAAAAAGGCUUGUAGGGGGCAUAAUGGCACGCUGCAUUAAUGUAGCAUUCUGAAUUAAAAUAACUUCUUUCCUUUUCAAUAAUAUCUUGACAUAUUCGUGGUUCUUUAACAAAAACUUGGAAGGUGAGAUGGAUGAAUUUAGAUUUUGUAUGAUGCCUGCAUAGUAAAACCACUGAGCACAGGAAUCAUUUAGAAGCAAAUUUCAGUGGUUAUAUGUUUUUUAAAUCAGUAUUUAGGGAGAAUAUUUGCAUAAUAAUAUUACUAAUUUCAUAUAUUUCUCUAUCAGACAUGCAUUAAAAAGACAUUAAGUUAUAGUACCAUGGAGGAGAAUAAGUUCUGAAGUUAAACAUGAAUGUGACUACCGGAUGCAUCAAUACUAGCUUUUUAUAAAACUACUUAAGCAUCUUUGAACCCACCUGUUAAAGGUGGAGUUAAAAUAUAGCUUAAAUAUAUCUUGGACAAUGGGGUAACUUUUCAGUAUAAUUUAUUUUUCUUUUCUACUAAAUCUUCAUUUGAUAAAUGACAAUUUUCAGUUACCAAUAAAACUAAUGGGAUAAUGAUUUAUUCAGAAAUCAAUUACAGAGUCGUGCUGUGUAUGUGGUCUUGAAUUACACAUAAAUACAAUGUUAUCCUAGACCUUGGCAGUCUCUACCGUGUUUGUGUCCCUGAAAUAAAUUUGCAUAUAACCUGAUCUUUGACAUAAGAAACUCACAAUGAAGCAGCUGUUAACAUUUUAUUAUCAGCUGUUAACAUUUUAUUCUCAUCUCUGGAAUGAGAUAACAAACAGAGCAAGGUGCUUUGGGAAGGAAAGGCUAGGUAUCUUUUACUAGAAACUCUUAUCUCAUUAUUUAUAUACAAUAUUAUUACACAGAGAGUUUCAUUUUAAUGAUUUUGAAGAACAAUAUAAUAGCUGUGUGUAAAAAGAUCGUUUUCAUAAAGUCUCUUCUUUAAUUUAUAUAUUUAAGAGGAGAGAGGCUUUGCUUAUAUUUUGCCAUACAUGAUACUCAUCAAAUACUGAUUGUCUGACUGACUGUCCUAAUUGAAGAACUAAAUGAGGAUAGGUGCUUUUGAUGAGGAAUGGCUUCUGUCAUAUGCUUUUCUGGUUGUAUAUUCAGAGUUAAUGAAUUUCUGCAGUGUCUGUAUCUGUUAGUCUUUUCAUGACAAACACAGUAACUAUAUGCUGUGAUUUGUGUGUGUCCCCCAGAAUUUAUGUGUUGGAAAUUUGGUUCCUCAUGUGGUGAUUUGGGAGGCAGUAUCUUUAAGAGAUGAUUAGGUAAUUAAGAGGGAUUAAUGCUGCUGUCACAGUACUGAAUUAGUUACUGCGACAGUAGGUUAUUAUAAAGCAACGACAUUCUUCAUAUUUUGCCACUUUCACACUCAUGCCUUUGCCCUCUUUUCAUGUGAUAACUUGCACCUUUCUCUCACCAGAUGCUGGUCCCAUGUUCCUGGACUUCUCAGUCUCCCCCAGAACUGUAAAAAAUAAAUUUCCUUUCUUUAUAAAUUACCCAGUCUGUGGUAUUCUGUUAUAGUAAAGGAAAACAAGCUAAGGCAUUAUGUUAAAUCUUGUAAAAAGAACCUCUUUCCUAUGAUUAGAGCUCCUCUCAUAUGCAUAUAGAAAUCCAAUGUUGAAGCUAUCAUAAUUCUACUGAACCAUCAACUUCAACCCACCCAGGUAAGAUUAUGCCUUCUUGAAUAUAAGAGAAACUUCCCCAAUCCCUUACCCAACCAAAAGGAUGAAUCUUCGAGAAAAAUAUCAAAAAGCCCUGCUUCAAAUCAGUAAAUAUUUGGUGGUAGGUGAGUGGUGUUUUCAAAUAAUAAAUACAAUCAUUCACUCUCUGUUAUGACUUUUUGAAGAUAAUUCAUUUUUGUUUUUCUUCUCUUAAGGGCUGAUUUAAACUUUCACAAAUGUAACAUCAUAUUGAAUCACAUCACAUUGAAUUUGUAAUGAAAAAAUGUGUUCCCCAGACGUCUUAUGACCUCUGAAACUUGGAAACCAAGUUGGCAACUGAGGAAAAAACUAUUAUUUCCAUCAAAAACUAUGGCAACAAAAACAUGGUCAUGUUCAUUUUAAUUACUUCUGCCAUUUUACUUGUCCCUCUUUCUAGUUAUCUUUCUUAAGAAUAUUAAUCAGUCUAAAGAGAAUAAAUGAUUUAUUAUUUUCAGAGAGGUAGGUGUUUUGAACAGAUCUUAGAGCCAUGUGGGUCAGUGUUGUCAAUCCCAGAUUUAUCUGUUUAAAAUGCAUGCCUCAUGGACUUACACUUAUUAAUGUUAUAAUGUAGGUAAGAAUCUUACCCAGUGCUCAGUACAUACUAAGUUGUGGGUAAAACCUGCUUAUUACUAAUUAUUCAACAAUUCACAGAAAAAUGGAAAAUUCAGUUGUUCAAAUUAUCACCAAUAUGGGUGUUUUCUUUAUAAUGUGAUAAGAUUAUUUGAAUUUUAUGACACAUAUGCCAUGAAUUUAAGAUAAGUAUAAUAUGGUUGCUUUAAGUUUUUCUUUUUCAAUUACAAUAAUAAUAAUACAAACCUCCUUAGAUCUAUACACUUGAGAUAUUUAAAACACAAUGUGUAUGCAAAACAUCAUAACCUGGUUCCUCAAAUCAACAAGGGACUAUGAGUUUUAUUUGUAUGAGAGGUCUUGGACCUGUGGUAUUUUGUUUACUACUUAUCACUUUUGAUGGCCACCCAUUUGAAUAGAGAUCUAAUCUGGCUCUGGGGGCAGGGAAGAUCUUGGGACAGGAAAACUACCCCUUUCUUUAGGAGAUGGCCCAUUGAUCUUUGCUUUUAUCAGCUCCUGCAACUAUCAUUUGAAGGUAAAGAUCAAGUUAUUUACAAAUUGCUUUAGAUUGAAAGGCAUUAGACUAGGCAAGGUGAAAAUUAAGAGCUUGUGAAUACAUUGUAGGUGGAAAUAAUUUUUGGAAACGAUUUCCCAGUAUAUAUAAUACACAAUUUCUAAAAUGAACAAAAGUUUGAAAUAAGUUUUAAAUAAGAUGUUGAAAAGAUGUAAGCGUAGCUGCUUUAAUCUUAAUCAAUGCAACUUGUGAUGAGGUAAUGAAGAGCAGGCAAUCAGUCAGAACCCAAUCUACCCAAAUGAAAUCUCAAACAACAGAGGAUAUUUUUUACUUUAGUUUGUGUUAAGAGAGAUGGGCAAUGUAAGUGCUAUGCAGAUUUAAUGUGCUAAUGAAAUAAAUUCAUCAAGAUUUAAAUUAUGGAGGAAAUUAAAAUAAGAAACUGUUCUGUACACAAAAGAGACUAUGUCCCAAGAGAAUAUCCAGCCUUGGUAAAGAACAACCCUAAUGAAUUUUAGAAUAGAUUUACAAAAUAUUAUAUAUCACCUGUUUUUAAAGACUUUUUAUUCUUUAGUUUCCUUAGUCAGUCCCUAGAAUUUUUAUUUAGGAAAGACCCUAGAAAUAGAAAUCUGAAAUGCUCAGCCAACAAAAGCUUUGUGAAGUUGUUUGCCCAGCCAAUGUAUUGUUGGUGGUUAGAUCAUUAGUCUACUACUUCGAUUUUGGGUGCUCAGUGAAGUACCUGGAGGCAUUCAAGGGUGUGAGCACAGAUAAUUUAAGGGAAUUAAUUUCUAAUUUAAAUAAUUUCAUCUUUUAUGUUAAAUAUUUCCUAAGGCCAUUUGAUGGAGCUUCAAGUUCUAAUUUUCUUUUUUUUUUCUUUUGAGAUGGAGUGUUGCUCUGUCGCCCAGGCUGGAGUGCAGUGGCAUGAUCUCGGCUCACUGCAAGCUCCGCCUCCCAGGUUCAUGCCAUUCUCCUGCCUCAGCCUCUCAAGUAGCUGGGACUACAGGCACCCGCCACCACGCCUGGCUAAUUUUUUUUGUAUUUUUUAGUAAAGACGGGGUUUCACCAUGUUAGCCAGGAUGGUCUCGAUCUCCUGAUCUCGUGAUCUGCCCUUCCUCAGCCUCCCAAAGUGCUGGGAUCACAGGCGUGAGCCACCAUGCCCAGCCCAAGUUCUAAUUUUCUGCCAUGUUAUAAUAAACCUCUCCCAAUUUUUCAAAGUAAAAUAUCUGUUGCCCAGCACUAAACUAGCAGGGUGAUUGCCCCAGAAAAUUACAAAGAUCCUAGGCAUCACUACUGAGACCAAUCAAAAUGUUUUUAUAAUGAUUUUGAAAAAAUAAAGAAUUUUAAUGACAGGAUAAAAAAUAAAUACAUUUGAAAAUCAAAUGAUUCCAACUAUCAGUUUUCAACAAAACUAAAGAAUUUACCUACUUGGAUUGUUUGUUGAUAGGCCACUUAAAAAUAAUAUUUGCUGAAGAAUUAGAAUGAGACAUUUACAAACACCUGAAAAGAGUUGAAAGAAUUCAAUGUCAUUGCUAGAAUAGCACACUUAUCCUCAUCUAUUUGUUUAUGUGGACAAGUUAUUUCAAUACCUACAUCUAUAAAGAUGAGUGUAUUAGUUCAUUUUCAUAUUGCUGUUACAGACAUGCCCGAGACUGGACAAUUUACAAAAGAAAGAAGUUUAUCAGACUUACAGUUCUAUGUGGCUGAGGAAACCUCACAAACAUGGCGGAAGUUGAAAGGCACAUCUCACAUGGUGGUAGACAAGAGAAGAGAACUUGUGUAGGGAAACUCUGAUUUUUAAAACCAUCAGAUCUGGCGAGACUCAUUCACUAUCAAGAGAACAGUGCAGGAAAGACCCGCCCCCAUAAUUCAAUCACCUCUCACCAGGUUCCUCCCAUGACAUGUGGGAAGUACAAUUCAAGAUGAGAUUUGCUUGGGGGCACAGCCAAACCAUAUUAUUCCACCACUGGCCUCUUCUAAAUCUCAUGUCCUCAUAUUUCAAAAACCAAUCAUGCCUUCCCAAUAGUCCUCCAUAGUCUUAACUCAUUUCAGCAUUAACUCAAAAGUCUACAGUACAAGGUCUCUUCUGAGACAAGUCAAGUCCCUUCUGCCUAUAAGCAUGUAAAAUCAAAAGCAAGUUAGUUACAUCCUAGAUACAAUGUGGGUACAGGCACUGGGUAAAUACAGCCAUUCCAAAUGGGAGAAAUUGGCCAAAACAAAGGGGCUACAACCCCAUGUAAGUCUGAAAUCCAGCAGAGCAGUCAAAUCUUGAAGCUCCAAAAUGAUAUUUUGACUCAAUGUCUUACAUCUCAGUCAUGCUGAUGCAAAAGAUUGCUUCCUGUGGUCUUAGGCAGCCUCGCUCCUGGCUGUUUCCAUGGGCUUGUGUUGAGUGUCUGUGGCUUUUCCAGGCUCACAGUGCAAGCUGUCAGUGAAUCUACAAUUCUGGGUUCUGUAGAAUGAUGUCCCUCUUCUCACAGCUCCACUAGGUAGUGCCCCAGUAGGGACUCUCUGUGGGGACUCCAAACCCACAUUUCCCUUCCAUGCUGCCCUAGCAGAGGUUGUAUAUGAGAGCCCUGCCCCUGAAGCAAACUUCUGCCUGGGCAUCCACUCGUUUCCAUACAUCCUCUGAAAUGUAGGCGGAGGUUCCCAAACCCCAAUUCGUCACUUCUGUGUACCAGCAGGGUCAACACCAUAUAGAAGCUGCCAAGGCUUGGGGCUUGAAUCCUCUGAAACCAUAGCCCAAGCUCUAGGUGUACCCCUUUCAGCCAUGGCUGGAGUAGCUGGGAUGUAGGGCACCAAGUCCUGCGCAUAGCACUGGGACCCUGGGCCCGACCCACAUAACCACUUUUUCCUCCUAGACCUCCAGGCCUGUGAUGGGAGGGGCUUGUGAAGAGCUUUGAAAUGCUUUGGAGACAUUUUCCCUGUUGUCUUUGGGAUUAACAUUUGGCUCCUAGUUACUUAGGCAAAUUUCUGCAGCUGGCUUGAAUUUCUCCUUAGGAAAUGGGAUUUUCUUUUCUAACGCAUUGUCUGGCUGCAUAUUUUCUAAACUUUUAUGCUGUGCUUCCCUUUUAAAACUGAAUAGCUUCAACAGCACCCAAGUCACCUCUUGAGUGCUUUACUGCUUGGAAAUUUAUUCCACCAGAAACCCUAAAUCAUCUCUCUCAAGUUCAAAGUUCCACAAAUCUCUAGGGCAGAGGCAAAAUGCUGCCAGUCUAUUUGCUACAACAUAACAAGAGUCACCUUUGCUCCAGUUCCUAAAAAGUUCCUCAUUUUUAUCUGUGACCACCUCAGCCUAGACUUUAUUGCCCAUAUUUCUAUUAGCAUAUUGGUCAAAGGCAUUCAACCAGUCUCUAGGAGGUUCCAAACUUUCCAACAUUUUCCUGUCUUCUUCUGAGCCCUCCAAACUGUUCCAACCUCUGCUUGUUACCCAGUUCCAAAGUGGCUUCCACAAUUUCAGGUAUCGUUUCAUCAGUGCCCCACCCUACUGGUACCAAUUUACUGUAUUAGUCCAUUUUCAUGCCACUGAUAAAGACACACUUGAAACUGUGCAAUUUAAAAAUAAAGAGGUUUACUGGACUUACAGUUCCACAUGGCUAGGGAGACAUCACAAUUAUGACAGAAGGUAAAAGGUCCAUCUGACAUGGUGGCAGACAAGAGAAGAGAGCUUGUAUAGGGAAAUUCCCAUUUUUAAAACCAUCAGAUCUCGUGAGACUCAUUCAUUAUCAUGAGAACAGUGCAGGAAAGACCUGCCCCAUAAUUCAACCACCUCCUACUGGGUUCCUCCCAUGACACAUGAGAAUUGUGGGAGUUACAAUUCAAGAUUAGAUUUGAGUGAGCGCACAGCCAGACCAUGUCAAUGACCUAAAAAAUAGUAAGAAUAGAAUGUAUGGUAAACUCUGUCCCAUUGUAAUAAUAAAUUAAUCAUUAAUAUAAAUUACGUUCUCAUAGAGAGCUGUGUUUUCAAAAAUCACUUUAAUUUGUUAAAGUUGUUUAUGAAAACAUGAUAAGUUUACAUCAUUUAUAACAGGGACUAAUAAUUACUAGAAGAAUAACUUACUCUUGAUUUUUUUUAUUUACAGAU